rnacentral:RNase_P_RNA from 1 species
GUUGCCGGAUGGGCAGUCGCUCCCGGGUCUUCCCGGGGGAGGAAAGUCCGGUCUCCGCAGGGCAGCGUGCCGGCUAACGGCCGGGCGGGUCGCAAGGCCCGACGGAAAGUGCCACAGAAAAAAUACCGCCUGGCAGCAAUGCCCGGUAAGGGUGAAAAGGUGCGGUAAGAGCGCACCGCGGCGGGAGUAAUUCCGCUGGCAGGGAAAACCCCACGCGGAGCAAGACCAAAUAGGGGAGGAGGGGCGGCCCGUCCCGCUCGACUUCCGGGUAGGUCGCUAGAGCCGUUCAGCAAUGGGCGGCCCAGACGAAUGACUGCUGCCCGCAAGGGUACAGAAACCGGCUUAUAGUCCGGCAACCCCC